rnacentral:rRNA from 1 species
AGUGAAUAGAUACCCGGGUAGUCCACGCCCUAAACGAUCAUCACUGGCUUUACGGAGUAUCGACCCUCUGUGAGGCGAAAGCUAACGCGUUAAGUGAUGCGCCUGGGUAGUACGGCCGCAAGGCUAAAACUCAAAGGAAUAGACGGGGGACUUGCACAAGCGGUGGAUCAUGCGGCUCAAUUCGAUGACAAACGAAGAACCUCACCAGGGUUUGAAACCCAGACGACAUCCUUAGGAAACUUUGGACUCCGCAAGGCGGCUGGGCAGGUGAUGCAUGGUCGUCGUCAGUUCGUGGCUUGAGUUGUUCCCUUCAGUGGGUAACGAACGCAACCCCGUUGCCUGUUUUAAAAGUCAGGCGAGACUGCUCCCUCACGGGAGAGGAAGGUGGGGAUGACGCCAGAUCAGCAUGUCCCUCUGAUAUCCUGGGCUGCACGCAUGAUACAAUGGUCGAGACAACGGGUCGCGACGGGGUAACCCUGAGCUAAUCCUUAGAAACUCGGCCCAGUUCGGAUUGAGGUCUGCAACUCGACCUC